CCCCCAGUAGCGGCGAGCGAACGGGGAGCAGCCCGGAGUCUGAAUCAGCUUGUGUGUUAGUGGAACGGUCUGGAAAGUCCGACGGUACAGGGUGAUAGUCCCGUACACGAAAACACACUUGCUGUGAACUCGAAGAGUAGGGCGGGACACGUGGUAUCCUGUCUGAAUAUGGGGGGACCAUCCUCCAAGGCUAAAUACUCCUGACUGACCGAUAGUGAACCAGUACCGUGAGGGAAAGGCGAAAAGAACCCCGGCGAGGGGAGUGAAAAAGAACCUGAAACCGUGUACGUACAAGCAGUGGGAGCCUCUUUAUGGGGUGACUGCGUACCUUUUGUAUAAUGGGUCAGCGACUUAUAUUCUGUAGCAAGGUUAACCGUAUAGGGGAGCCGAAGGGAAACCGAGUCUUAACUGGGCGUUAAGUUGCAGGGUAUAGACCCGAAACCCGGUGAUCUAGCCAUGGGCAGGUUGAAGGUUGGGUAACACUAACUGGAGGACCGAACCGACUAAUGUUGAAAAAUUAGCGGAUGACCUGUGGCUGGGGGUGAAAGGCCAAUCAAACCGGGAGAUAGCUGGUUCUCCCCGAAAGCUAUUUAGGUAGCGCCUCGUGAACUCAUC
rnacentral:rRNA from 1 species